rnacentral:rRNA from 1 species
CAGUCGAACGAUGAAGCCGGAGCUUGCUCUGGUGGAUUAGUGGCGAACGGGUGAGUAACACGUGAGUAACCUGCCCUUGACUCUGGAAUAAGCGUUGGAAACGACGUCUAAUACCGGAUACGAGCUUCCGCCGCAUGGUGAGGAGCUGGAAAGAAUUUCGGUCAAGGAUGGACUCGCGGCCUAUCAGGUAGUUGGUGAGGUAAUGGCUCACCAAGCCUACGACGGGUAGCCGGCCUGAGAGGGUGACCGGCCACACUGGAACUGAGACACGGUCCAGACUCCUACGGGAGGCAGCAGUGGGGAAUAUUGCACAAUGGGCGCAAGCCUGAUGCAGCAACGCCGCGUGAGGGACGACGGCCUUCGGGUUGUAAACCUCUUUUAGUAGGGAAGAAGCGAAAGUGACGGUACCUGCAGAAAAAGCACCGGCUAACUACGUGCCAGCAGCCGCGGUAAUACGUAGGGUGCAAGCGUUAUCCGGAAUUAUUGGGCGUAAAGAGCUCGUAGGCGGUUUGUCGCGUCUGCUGUGAAAACUGGGGGCUCAACCCCCAGCCUGCAGUGGGUACGGGCAGACUAGAGUGCGGUAGGGGAGAUUGGAAUUCCUGGUGUAGCGGUGGAAUGCGCAGAUAUCAGGAGGAACACCGAUGGCGAAGGCAGAUCUCUGGGCCGUAACUGACGCUGAGGAGCGAAAGCAUGGGGAGCGAACAGGAUUAGAUACCCUGGUAGUCCAUGCCGUAAACGUUGGGAACUAGAUGUAGGGGCCAUUCCACGGUUUCUGUGUCGCAGCUAACGCAUUAAGUUCCCCGCCUGGGGAGUACGGCCGCAAGGCUAAAACUCAAAGGAAUUGACGGGGGCCCGCACAAGCGGCGGAGCAUGCGGAUUAAUUCGAUGCAACGCGAAGAACCUUACCAAGACUUGACAUAUACGAGAACGGGCUAGAAAUAGUUCACUCUUUGGACACUCGUAAACAGGUGGUGCAUGGUUGUCGUCAGCUCGUGUCGUGAGAUGUUGGGUUAAGUCCCGCAACGAGCGCAACCCUCGUUCUUUGUUGCCAGCACGUAAUGGUGGGAACUCAAAGGARACUGCCGGGGUCACUUCGGAGGAAGUUGGGGAUGACGUCAAUCAUCAUGCCCCUUAUGUCUUGGGCUUCA